UGUCAAUGUCAGAUAACCAAGUCUUAUGGUUUACAUUCCUAAUCAGGGGACGAUUUAUUCUAAUUUGGUGGCUCCUACACAACUUUCAAGUGAUGCAGGCAUGAAACGGUUCUGCAUUACAAAACAGUUCCCUUCACACACCCAACGCGGCAAACCCCAAAUUUUCCCCGAAAAGGCCAGGCACAGGCAAACGAAUUAACACCCCCUCUUGCUCAAAGAUCGAUUGGCUUUGGCUGGACGUGUCCUCCAGAGAGAAUUGCUGGGCGGUGACCAGGUUUCAGUGAGGAGAUGGACCCCUGGGCGGGCACCGGCAGUCCAGACAUCUCCAGCAGCCUCCUCCCACCCUCAAACGCGCCUUCCAGUAGGGUCUGCGGGCGCGGCUGCAGCAGAUCCCGGCGCCCCUGGAGCGCGCCGCGCCGCCGCCGCUGCAGCACGGUCGCAGCGACCUUCCCGCCCGCAUCUCCGGGAGCCCCGUUACCCACGUCCCCACACCCCACCCGAGAAAAAAGGGAGGGGGACGCACAACAAAGCCCAAUCCGAGGAGGCCCAAGUGAGCUUAUGUCCACAGCUCACAAGAAUAAAACCCCAACCGCUAAUGAGGCUUCCAAGACAUAAGAUGAGCUGUCCUCUGAUACAAGUCUGAUUUUGUCUCCUCCAACUCCACCACAACCUCACAAACCUCUUUGCUGUUCCUCCAACAUUCUUAUUCCUUUUGUGUCGUCAAGCCCAAAUACGUACCCACAAGAGGCUGUGAGCCUGAGCCCUAGAGGGCGGGAGAGGCAGCCUGAUCUUCCUUUCACCUUAAGCUGAAAGCUGAGGAGGACCAUGAUAGGAGUGGACGGCACAGACCAGGGCUCUCCAGGCUUGACCACUGAUGUUCUGCCCAGACUUUGCUUGGCCAUGAGGAUGGAGAGAGCAACUGGAGUCCUUGCUCAGAGCAACGGGCACAGUGGAGCCAGAGCAGUCUGCAGAAGUCACACCCUGGACUAGAAGUUUUGAGGAGCACCAGAGAGCCAAGAUUCAACAGUUGGCACACUUCCUCCAGGACGUUCAGAAACCACCCGAAAAGUAAAUUCAGAAGAAAAAUGGGCUUCCUGCAGCCCAUGAAGAGGGAUCUAUUGCAAUUUGGAUAUUAAAGAAGAAUGUUCUUGGUGUU